rnacentral:lncRNA from 1 species
AUGCCCGUAUGCAUCAGUACAGAGGCAGCGGCACUUUCCAAGGUCCGCGACUCCUGGUGCCAGCACAGGGGGGGGGGGGGGGUUAAAGAAAGCCCUAAAGUACAGUCUCCAAUGCUUGGCAUCUCUGGUAUCACCAGGGCAAAGUGGGUAGAGAAAAUACCAUCAUUUCAUCAAGUAGCAUCUAAUUUUGACUCUUUAUUUAAACUUUCACAGGGUUAAAGAGGGUUUAGUAAAGUUAGAGGAAUAUGAAGUCAUGACAGUGAAGGCACAGCAGUUUCACUGCAAAGAGAAUUGCAUGAAAUGGGACCAAUCAUGUGGCUUUGACAGAAAUUUCUCAGAGGUAGAAGGAGAAAAAGAAAUCUGGGGGAUUCUGCUAUACCUCAGCUUGCUGAGGAAAUGGCAAAGGUAGGAAAAAGAAAAAAAAAUAGACAAAAACAGAAACCAAGUUAAAUUAAAGAGAUUCUAAGUACUUGUGCAAGUAUACCGAGAGAGGAAAAGCAAGGAAAGUACAAGGAAGAAAAAGGUUUUCAAAUCAAUGGGGAAUUAAUUUAGUGAUAGUUCUAACGUUGGAAUAGGGAAAAAAGUGCCCACAGUAAAGCCAUACUGCCAGCACACAGACCAGCUAACGGUCCCAUUGUGGGCAGUAGUUUGGCACUGUUAAUGACAGUCCACAGCCCUGGCUCUUCAGAUGAUAAUCUACAGGAUUUCUGAAAGGUUCUGGGCUGAGAUUCCACUGGUUCCAAAUUGUAGUCAGGCCAUGGGUUGGUUCCACAUCACUUGCGCAACGCACCCCAAGCCCACUGCUCUCAGAAAAACGUGGCACGAAGUUGC